ensembl:snRNA U6 U6 spliceosomal RNA
UCACUUCAGCAGCGUAUAUACUAAAGUUGGAAUGAUACAGAGAUUAGCAUGGCCCCUGUGCAAGGACACGUGCAAAUUCAUGAAGUAUUCCAUAUGUUU